rnacentral:rRNA from 1 species
GAUGAACGCUGGCGGCGUGCCUAAUACAUGCAAGUCGAGCGAACAGACGAGGAGCUUGCUCCUUUGACGUUAGCGGCGGACGGGUGAGUAACACGUGGAUAACCUACCUAUAAGACUGGGAUAACUUCGGGAAACCGGAGCUAAUACCGGAUAACAUGUUGAACCGCAUGGUUCAACAGUGAAAGACGGUCUUGCUGUCACUUAUAGAUGGAUCCGCGCCGCAUUAGCUAGUUGGUAAGGUAACGGCUUACCAAGGCAACGAUGCGUAGCCGACCUGAGAGGGUGAUCGGCCACACUGGAACUGAGACACGGUCCAGACUCCUACGGGAGGCAGCAGUGGGGAAUCUUCCGCAAUGGGCGAAAGCCUGACGGAGCAACGCCGCGUGAGUGAAGAAGGUCUUCGGAUCGUAAAACUCUGUUAUUAGGGAAGAACAAAUGUGUAAGUAACUAUGCACGUCUUGACGGUACCUAAUCAGAAAGCCACGGCUAACUACGUG